rnacentral:lncRNA from 13 species
AUGUGCUUCUCUGGGAUCCUAUGUUUGAAAAAAACAUACCCUACAAAGCUACUGCCCCUUCCUGCUGGACACCAUAAUGAGGACAUAAGCCAGUGCGAAAUUGACCAGAAACCUGAAUUUACGCUGACCCUGAAAAUUCCAGCCUCCCUCAGCCAAACCUCAGCCAACAUUCCGGCCUAUUCACCUCUGCUGACACAGAUGGACUUCACACGCCUGCAUCCCUUGGCCUGGAAGCUUCUCCCUCCUCAGGAGCAGGUUUGGCUUAUGAGCAGUAAAGCCGGUGGUGCCAAGGCUCAGCGCCCCCAGAGACAUAAUCCAAUCAUUGAUGGAGUGGAAGUGGUGGAAAUCUCCCCAGUUUCCUGCCCUUCAGAAUGGGCCAACUGUGAGACGUGUCCUUUACCGUCUCCCAGAAUCCUCUAGCAAGGUUAGCCUCAGUUGGCUAAAGCAGUAACUUGCUCCAUAGAAAAGGAAAAUACAUGAAAAUGCUUGCUGAUGUAUUUUCCUUUUUUAUUCAAUUUUCCUACUCCCUUCCUGGUGCUUUCUGGAAUCACCUCCCAAUAAACCAUUAUCACUCGUAUCUUUUCA